GGGAAUUGCUACCUCGUGAUGUAUCCCACCAUCGCCUCAAGCGACGUGCUAUCAUCGCCAGUUGCGGAGACCCUUCUCCCUCCGUUGUUAUGCUAAACAUCUUUUUCUCUUCUCUUUUCAUCGGAUUUCGCCACUUGGUACGAAUCCAAUGGUUCUAAAAUUUUAUAAAUUGACCUUUCCCCUUCCAUCCCUCCCCACUCUUUCACUCUUUCAUUUUUUUAAGAUUU
rnacentral:lncRNA from 1 species